UUUAAUGUAUAUUCAUUUUUUUCUAAACAAUAAGUAGUGUCAACUUAAAGAGUAUGAAAAUAUAAACAAAUUAAAGGGCAGAACAUUUACAAUGAAAAACAUUUUCUAUUAUACUAUGUUAAGAUUACAAUUUUGAGACUCUCUCGAAUGGAAAAUCCUGGUAUUGGUGCAAUUAGCGAUCCUUGCGACGAUGGGGAUCGGAACACCAAAAAAGUUCGUUUCAAAGAAGCAGUUGAUGGAGAAGAGACUAACAUGGUUGUUGGCUCAGAUCAACAGUCGAUGAUGUCUUUCAAAGAUAAACUUUUUGGGGGUGGACUGACUUCUCCCGAUAGGUACCUUACAAGAAACGAAUGUGAUCUUGUUUUACAGGAUGGGGAUGUUAACACGUCAAUGGUUAAUGGGAUUCCGGUAAUCGCUUUUUUAGAUCGCAUCAAAGACAUACUGUUCAAAGAGAUCGAAUCGACUGUUAUUUUAAAUUGCUCGGGCGUAACAUUGGUUAUAACAUGCUAUAAAACCGUAUCCUUAAUCUAUGGAAACCGGUCAAUUCUUUUCACUUAAUGGAUAUUACUAAUGGAUAUUUUUUGGUGAAAUUUCAGGAAAUGGAAGAUUACAAUAAAGUUUUAACCCAGGGAGCAUAGAUUAUAUUCAGGCAAUACCUCACUGUGCAACCAUGGACGAAAAAUUUUAAUCCAGAGCAACCCUAUCCCAGUGUGGUGUUGGCUUGGAUUCAUCUGCCGGGUCUCCCAGGUUAUCUGUACAAGAGACAAAUCAUUGAAGCAAUUGGCGGAUUAAUAGGGAAAGUUGUUAAACUAGACCUACAAACCAAUAACAGAACCCGGGGACGUUUUGCCCAUUUAGUAGUGUUCAUUAAUCUUGACGAACCACUUACCUCCAAAGUCUUGGUGGAUGGAGUAAUCCAACGGGUUGAAUACGAGGCACUCCUGACGAUUUGUUUCAGUUGCGAGAAGUAUGGACAUGUUAAGGAAAUAUGCCUGUCGGUGAGGGUUAAGGUGGCUUUGAAAAGGCCGAGGACUGAGGAAGUGGUGGCUUCCAGUGAUGGCGUGGGAGAAGACAAUGAUGGAAAGGGAGUCGAUUACGAACCUUGGAUGUUGGUCAAGAGAAAGUCACGGCGGGGUAAAAGGGAUUCUCAGGCUAGUGGAGGUGCAAAAUCUGGAAAGGACUUUUUGGGUUCUAGGUUUACAGCGCUAAUGGUGGAUGGUGGCUUAGGGGGAGAUUUAAUGGAGAUAAUGGGGGGAUUUUGAGUGAAAAGGAGAACGGUCACGCAGCUAGAGGUAAAAAGUAUUAUGAAAAUAAGGUUUUUUCUAAAGGUGAUUUGGGCAUUUUAGUUGAUUUGGGUCAUGGCGUUGAGGGGGGGUUUAAUAAGUUGGCUAGGCCUAUUGUGGGCUCAGGAGAGAGUGAGUCGAGUUUUGCUGGGC
rnacentral:lncRNA from 1 species